GAUGAACGCUGGCGGCGUGCCUAAUACAUGCAAGUCGAGCGAACAGACGAGGCGCUUGCUCCUCUGACGUUAGCGGCGGACGGGUGAGUAACACGUGGAUAACCUACCUAUAAGACUGGGAUCACUUCGGGAAACCGGAGCUAAUCCCGGAUAAUAUAUUGAACCGCAUGGUUCAAUAGUGAAAGACGGUUUUGCUGUCACUUCUCGCUGGUUCCGAGCCGCAUUAGCUAGUUGGUAAGGUCACGGCUUAUCAAGGCAACGAUGCGUAGCCGAACUGAGAGGGGGAUCGGCCACACGGGAACGGAGACACGGUCCAGACUACUACGGGAGGCAGCAGUAGGGAAUCGUACGCAAUGGGCGAAAGCCUGACGGAGCAACGCCGCGUGAGUGAUGAAGGUCUUCGGAUCGUAAAACUCUGUUAUUAGGGAAGAACAAAUGUGUAAGUAACUAUGCACGGCUUGACGGUACCUAAUCAGAAAGCCACGGCUAACUACGUG
rnacentral:rRNA from 1 species